rnacentral:rRNA from 1 species
GGGAGGGUAGCUAUACAUUAUUACCUCGGUCCUCCUCUUCUGGGUUAGUGGCGGACGGGUGAGUAACACGUGGGAACGUGCCUUUAGGUUCGGAAUAGCUCCUGGAAACGGGUGGUAAUGCCGAAUGUGCCCUUCGGGGGAAAGAUUUAUCGCCUUUAGAGCGGCCCGCGUCUGAUUAGCUAGUUGGUGAGGUAAUGGCUCACCAAGGCGACGAUCAGUAGCUGGUCUGAGAGGAUGACCAGCCACAUUGGGACUGAGACACGGCCCAAACUCCUACGGGAGGCAGCAGUGGGGAAUCUUGCGCAAUGGGCGAAAGCCUGACGCAGCCAUGCCGCGUGAAUGAUGAAGGUCUUAGGAUUGUAAAAUUCUUUCACCGGGGACGAUAAUGACGGUACCCGGAGAAGAAGCCCCGGCUAACUUCGUGCCAGCAGCCGCGGUAAUACGAAGGGGGCUAGCGUUGCUCGGAAUUACUGGGCGUAAAGGGCGCGUAGGCGGACAUUUAAGUCAGGGGUGAAAUCCCAGAGCUCAACUCUGGAACUGCCUUUGAUACUGGGUGUCUUGAGUGUGAGAGAGGUAUGUGGAACUCCGAGUGUAGAGGUGAAAUUCGUAGAUAUUCGGAAGAACACCAGUGGCGAAGGCGACAUACUGGCUCAUUACUGACGCUGAGGCGCGAAAGCGUGGGGAGCAAACAGGAUUAGAUACCCUGGUAGUCCACGCCGUAAACGAUGAUUGCUAGUUGUCGGGCUGCAUGCAGUUCGGUGACGCAGCUAACGCAUUAAGCAAUCCGCCUGGGGAGUACGGUCGCAAGAUUAAAACUCAAAGGAAGUGACGGGGGCCCGCACAAGCGGUGGAGCAUGUGGUUUUAAUUCGAAGCAACGCGCAGAACCUUACCACCUUUUGACAUGCCUGGACCGCCACGGAGACGUGGUCUUUCCCCUUCUGGGGACUACGACACAGGUGCUGGCAUGGCUGUCGUCAGACUCGUGUCGUGAGAUGCUUGGGGUAAAGUACCUUCAACAAGCCGCAAACCCUUCGUCAUUAUUGGCGAUCAUUCAGUUGGGGAGGCUCUAAUGGCGACUGCGGAUGACCUAGCCAGACGUACGCUCCGGAUGACGUCAGUCCCUCAUGCCCGUACCAGAUUGGGCUUAGCACUGUCUACAAUGCGAACUACAGAGCCCUGAUGCGUUGAAGACGACUAAUUA